rnacentral:lncRNA from 1 species
UGCCCAUCUUUGGUCUGGCUGGCAUUUCUCCCAAUCAGUUACACAUACACAUACACACUUUUGGACUUGUUUCCAUGUAAGGGCCUAAAGUCUCUUGUGGAAAGAAGCAGACAUCGAUCGCUAUUUAUUUAGUGUCUAGGGGAUUUGAUGAGAGCAGCUCAGUCCCUGGAGUCUGCUCAACUCUGCAAGCACAGAUGGAAUCCACGGCCUGGCGAGCUCCACUGAGGCUUCAUAAAGGAACUGCAGAAACCCUGCCUGUGUGUACAUCCCCAAACAGCCAAGAACUCAGAGGGAG